rnacentral:rRNA from 1 species
UGGCUCAGAACGAACGCUGGCGGCGCGUUUAAGCAUGCAAGUCGAGCGGCAAGGGCCUUCGGGCCCCUAGAGCGGCGGACGGGUGAGUAACACGUGGACAAUCUGCCCCCCGGCCCGGGAUAGCCCAGGGAAACCUGGAUUAAUACCGGAUGAGACGGGACCCGCGAUGGCGGGACCCGGGAAAGGCGCUGCGGCGCCGCCGGGGGAUGAGUCUGCGUCCCAUUAGCUAGACGGCGGGGUAACGGCCCACCGUGGCGACGAUGGGUAGCCGGCCUGAGAGGGUGGACGGCCACAUUGGAACUGAGACACGGUCCAGACUCCUACGGGAGGCAGCAGCUAAGAAUCUUCCGCAAUGGGCGAAAGCCUGACGGAGCCGACGCCGCGUGAACGAAGAAGGCCGUGAGGUUGUAAAGUUCUUUUCGGGAGGGGGAACAACCGUGGCAGGGAAUGGCCGCGGGAUGACGUGAAUCCCGGAAUAAGCCCCGGCUAACUACGUGCCAGCCGCGGC